UGGGGAAUAUUGCACAAUGGGCGCAAGCCUGAUGCAGCCAUGCCGCGUGUGUGAAGAAGGCCUUCGGGUUGUAAAGCACUUUCAGCGGGGAGGAAGGCGUUAAGGUUAAUAACCUUGGCGAUUGACGUUACCCGCAGAAGAAGCACCGGCUAACUCCGUGCCAGCAGCCGCGGUAAUACGGAGGGUGCAAGCGUUAAUCGGAAUUACUGGGCGUAAAGCGCACGCAGGCGGUCUGUCAAGUCGGAUGUGAAAUCCCCGGGCUCAACCUGGGAACUGCAUUCGAAACCGGCAGGCUAGAGUCUUGUAGAGGGGGGUAGAAUUCCAGGUGUAGCGGUGAAAUGCGUAGAGAUCUGGAGGAAUACCGGUGGCGAAGGCGGCCCCCUGGACAAAGACUGACGCUCAGGUGCGAAAGCGUGGGGAGCAAACAGG
rnacentral:rRNA from 1 species